rnacentral:rRNA from 1 species
UGGGGAAUCUUGCGCAAUGGGCGAAAGCCUGACGCAGCAACGCCGCGUGCGGGAUGAAGGCCCUCGGGUCGUAAACCGCUUUCAGCAGGGAUGAAACUGACAGUACCUGCAGAAGAAGCCCCGGCUAACUACGUGCCAGCAGCCGCGGUAAUACGUAGGGGGCAAGCGUUAUCCGGAUUCAUUGGGCGUAAAGAGCGCGUAGGCGGCUUGUUUAGUCAGAUGUGAAAACCGGGGGCUCAACCCGCGGCCUGCAUCUGAAACUGACAGGCUUGAGUCUGGUAGAGGAAAGUGGAAUUCCUGGUGUAGCGGUGAAAUGCGCAGAUAUCAGGAGGAACACCAGUGGCGAAGGCGGCUUUCUGGGCCACGACUGACGCUGAGGCGCGAAAGCUAGGGGAGCGAACAGG